rnacentral:rRNA from 1 species
CCCUUAGAUGUUCUGGGCCGCACGCGUGCUACACUGAGUAAAUCAAUGGGUAAGGGAACACGAAAGUGCAACCUAAUCUUGAAAUUUGCUCGUGAUGGGGAUCGACAGUUGCAAUUUUCCGUCGUGAACGAGGAAUACCUUGUAGGCGCGUGUCAUCAUCACGCGCCGAAUACGUCCCUGCCCUUUGUACACACCGCCCGUCGCUCCUACCGAUUGAGUGGUCCGGUGAGGCUCUGGGACCUGGACGGAAAGAGCGUUUCGCUUGUUCUGUUUGGGAAACUUGGUCGAACCUUAUCAUUUAGAGGAAGGAGAAGUCGUAACA